rnacentral:lncRNA from 1 species
GGAGGAAGAUACCAAAUUGAUGUUACCUGUGAAGUGAGAUCAUAAGAGACAAUGAAAAAUAAAUUCUAAUUGUUGAUCCAAGAGGUCUUUUAUUUAAUAAAGAACAUUCUAAAGUGCGCACACGCGCGCACGCGCACACACACACACACACACACACAUCACCUACAGCUGUCCAAAAUUACCACUGUUUUUCUAUUAAUUUUUAAAAAGGUUUGGCUGAAACGUUCAAAGCCAAAUAAUUCUUUGCAGAAGUUUUCCUUGGCGAUGUAGUACAGAUGCCUUUAGGAUACGAAUUUAGCUAUUUUAAUUGUUAAAGCAGUAAAUAUAGGAGCAUUUUUUUAUUUUGUCUUUUUUGGUAUUUUACAGGAAACAGGAAUAGUUCUUGAAUUUGAUUUUUGAUAAACCUUUGUUAAUGUGGGACUGGCAUUUGUUUGAAUUUAAAGGAAAACAGCUAUAGAAUCAUAUGCUUUUACCUAGAAAUGAAAAUACAGUGACUUAAAACAGAUGUCUAACAAAAACUGAUGCCAGGUUUUAAGAUUGUAACUUGUCACCCAGAAGUGUGGCACCGCAUGCAAAUGUGGGAAAGGCUAAAAAAUAUGUUCUAAUAUCUUAAGAGGAAAUGUGAAGGGCACACUUAAAAGUGUGACAGUCUUGCACAGUAGUGCAGCCGUAUGAAUGUACUUGAUGCCCCUGAUCAUCCACUUAAUAAUGGUGAAAAUGGUAAAUUUUAUAUUGUGCAUAUUUUACUAUAACUAAAACAAAAUUUUUUAAUGUGACCAGGUCAACUAAUGACUUCAUAAGAACUCAAACACUUGUUUCCAGAGAAAUGGCAGCCUGAACACAACUGCCUGCACCCAUGGGCCUCAGAUACCAAAUCUCCCAUUUCACAUCCUCACUUGUAGAUUUCUGGCUUCCUGUCCAUCCGUUCCUAGUCCCCUAUGCUCCCUUCUCCUGAUUUCCCUCCAGAAGAGCUCCCCUCGCUGAAGUUGGAGGCAAGAUGGACCUCCAGAUGAGGCCGCUGGGGCUCAAAGUUGUGUAUCUCCUAAAGGUUCCUGCAGUUGAUAGAAUACAUGUGUUUCUUUCUCGACUAAUGUGUCUUGACAAGGGAUUGGGCCUCUGAGAAAGCGCUAAAGGUCCAAACAGCCUUUCAGGAGACUAACAGGAAAUCUGGUCUUGGUUGUGGGUGGUAUGAGUGAUGGGCCCUUCCCAGGCAGGGAGCCUGGGGUUGAGGGGAGGCUGGCACAAUAGUGACCACCAACAGAAGGGCCUUGGGCAAGCACUUUUUUUUUUUUCUUUUUUUGGCUGUCCCAAGGCAUGUGGAGUUCCUGGGCCAGGGAUCAGAUUGGAACCACAGUUGUGACCUAUAUCAAAUCUGUGGCCACACCAGAUCCUUAACCCACUGCAGGGCCAGAGAUCAAACCUGUGGUAACAGCCACGUGGGAUGAUGCAAAGAAGUGUAAAAGUCAAACAGACUUGGGUUGGCCCUUCCUCCUUUUUCUUUUUUCUUAGGUUUUUAUUUUUUUCUAUUAUAGUUGAUUUACAUUGUUCUGUCUAAAGGCGAUAGUUUGCAUCUACUAACCCCAAACUCCCAGUCCAUCCCACUCCCUCCCACUCCCCUUCCGCAACAACAAGUCUGUUCUCCAAGUACAUGAGUUUGUUUCUGUGGAAAGGUUCAUUGUGCCAUAUAUUAGAUUCCAGAUAUAAGUGAAAUCAUAUGGUAUUUGUCUUUCUCUUUCUGACUUACUUCGCUUAGUAUGAGAGUUUCUAGUUCCAUCCAUGUUGCUGUAAAUGGCAUUUUAUUUUUUAUGGCUGAGUAGUAUUCCAUUGUGCAUAUGUGCCACAUCUUCUUAAUCCAUUCAUCUUUGAUGGACAUUUAGGUUGUUUCCCUUUCUUAGCUAUUGUGAAUAGUGAUGCAGUGAACAUAGGGGUGCAUGUAUCUUUUUCAGUGAAAGUUUUGUCCUCAUAUAUGCCCAGGAAUGGGAUUGCUGGGUCAUAUGGUAGUUCUGGAUUUAGUUUUCUGAGGAACCUCCAUACUGUUUUCCAUAGUGGUUAUACCAAUUUACCUUCCCAUCAACAGUGUAGGGAGGUUCCCUUUUCUCCACACCCUCUCCAGCAUUUGUUAUUUGUUGAUUUGUUAAUGAUGGCCCUCUGACCAGUGUGAGGUGGUACCUCAUAGUAGUUUUGAUUUGCAUUUCUGUAGUAAUUAGUAAUGUUGAACAUUUUUUCAUGUCUCUAUUAGCCAUCUGUAUCUUCUUUGGAGAAAUGUCUGUUCAGGUCUUCUGCGCAUUUUUCAAUUGAGUUGUUGGGUUUUUUGUUGUUGAGUCUUUCCUCCUUUCUUCCAUUUGGAAAUGAGAGGAUUCAUACUCUGGCAGGUGAAGUGAAGAAUCACUUAAUUCAGGAGUUCCCGUCGUGGCGCAGUGGUUAACGAAUCCGACUAGGAACCAUGAGGUUGCGGGUUUGGUCCCUGCCCUUGCUCAGUGGGUUAAUGAUCCGGCGUUGCCAUGAGCUGUGGUGUAGGUUGCAGACGUGGCUCGGAUCCCGCGUUGCUGUGGCUCUGGCGUAGGCCCAUGGCUACAGCUCCGAUUCAACCCCUAGCCUGGGAAUCUCCAUAUGCCGCGGGAGCGGCCCAAGAAAUAGC